UAACCUGCCCAAGAGAUCGGGAUAACACCUGGAAACAGAUGCUAAUACCGGAUAAUAACAGAUGAUGCCUAUCAACUGUUUAAAAGAUGGUUCUGCUAUCACUCUUGGAUGGACCUGCGGUGCAUUAGCUAGUUGGUAGGGUAACGGCCUACCAAGGCGAUGAUGCAUAGCCGAGUUGAGAGACUGAUCGGCCACAUUGGGACUGAGACACGGCCCAAACUCCUACGGGAGGCAGCAGC
rnacentral:rRNA from 1 species